rnacentral:rRNA from 1 species
GACGAACGCUGGCGGCGUGCUUAACACAUGCAAGUCGAACGGAGUGGCGAACGGGUGAGUAACACGUGGGUGAUCUGCCUUGCACUUCGGGUUAAGCUUGGGAAACUGGGUCUAAUACCGGAUAGUGCAAGAUGAGCUCGCGGCCUAUCAGCUUGUUGGUGGGGUAAUGGCCUACCAAGGCGUCGACGGGUAGCCGGCCUGAGAGGGUGUACGGCCACAAUGGGAAUGAGAUAGGGCGCAGACGGAUACGGGAGGCAGCGGUGGGGGAUAUUGCAGAAGGGGCGGAAGGCUGAUGCAGGGACGCGGGGUGGGGAAAGAAGGCCUUCGGGUUGUAAACUCAUUUCGACAGGGACGCGGUACCUGUAUAAGAAGCACCGGCUAACUACGUGCCAGCCGCCGCGGUAAUAC